rnacentral:rRNA from 1 species
GACGAACGCUGGCGGCGUGCCUAAUACAUGCAAGUAGAACGCUGAAGAGAGGAGCUUGCUCUUCUUGGAUGAGUUGCGAACGGGUGAGUAACGCGUAGGUAACCUGCCUUGUAGCGGGGGAUAACUAUUGGAAACGAUAGCUAAUACCGCAUAACAAUGGAUGACCCAUGUCAUUUAUUUGAAAGGGGCAAAUGCUCCACUACAAGAUGGACCUGCGUUGUAUUAGCUAGUAGGUGAGGUAACGGCUCACCUAGGCGACGAUACAUAGCCGACCUGAGAGGGUGCUCGGCCACACUGGGACUGAGACACGGCCCAGACUCCUACGGGAGGCAGCAGUAGGGAAUCUUCGGCAAUGGGGGCAACCCUGACCGAGCAACGCCGCGUGAGUGAAGAAGGUUUUCGGAUCGUAAAGCUCUGUUGUAAGUCAAGAACGAGUGUGAGAGUGGAAAGUUCACACUGUGACGGUAGCUUACCAGAAAGGGACGGCUAACUACGUG